rnacentral:lncRNA from 1 species
UGAGUGUUUCAGGUAGUUCAGGUAGAAUAAUUUAUUCAUUAAUUCAAUAAGAAUUGCUUGGUCACUUACUCAGUGCCACGUAGUAUCCUAAAUUAGGCCAAUAAUGUUCCUGCCCCCGAAUGAGACCAGUACAGGCCACAGUAAGAACUUUGGGUUUUAUUCCUAAUGUAGGAGAUCAUUGAGAGUUUGAUCAUGGUAGUCCUGUGAUCUGAUAUAUUGGAUUUCUAUGCUGCAUAUCAAAUUACCACCAAAUUAGCAGUUGAAAAUGAUACACGCUCAUUAUCUCACAGUUUCUGUGGGUCAGUACUCUGGGCAUGGCUUAGCUGGUUCCUCUGCUCAGUAUCUCCUGUAACUGCAGUCAAGAUGUCAACUGGGCUGUUAGUAUUUGGAGGUUCAGAUGAGGAGGAAUAUGCUUCCAUAUCUCAUGUGUUUUGGCAGUAUUCAUUUCCUUGUGUCCAGAGGAUUCAUGAUGACUUCCUUCUUUAGACUCAAUAAGGAGAGUGAAACUGCAAAGCAAGUCUCCUAGCAAGGUGGGGUCUUAUAUGACAUCAUGGAAUUCCAUCAUCUGUCCCAUAUUCUGUUGGUUAGAAGCAAGUCACAAAUUCUAACCACAGUCAGGACCUGAACAUGAGUAUUGGGAAGUGGAGUCAUUGAAACUGCUUUAGGGGCAGGCGUCACAGGAAGCUUGCAUCCCCAACACAGAGACAGACAGACAGAGAACACAGGCAAGGGGAGCAGCAGAGGGAGAAGGAGAAGCAGGCUCUCGGCUGAGCAGGGAGCCCUUCCCUGGGCUCGAUCCUGGGAUCCAGGACCAUGACCUAAGCUGAAGGCAGACGCUCAAUGGACUGCGUCACCCAGAUCCCAAAUGUUUAUUCUGGAGAGGACAUCCUUCUGCUGAGUUCACCGUCUCUGACAAUGGCAAUUUUUGGAGCUCUGUCUGAAGAUAUCUCAAGCUGCAAGGACACUGCUUAUUUCUUGCUGUGUCUGUGUGUUCUUAUUGAAACUUUGAUCAGGGUUCGACCAAAGACAUGGCCAACACAUCCAACAAGGAAGAAGGUGUCCAAAGAGAUGCCCCGUGUGGGACUUUCUGAGGACUGUUGA